rnacentral:rRNA from 1 species
GCAAAGUCCGGGCCGUGGUCGGCGGGAAUAGUGGGGGUGGAAGUGUGAAGCGGCAUUACGUGGCGUAAAGGGUGCGUGGGCGGUGGGCUAAGUCUGCGGUGAAAUGCCUGGGCUCAAACUGGGAAUGGCGGUGGAUACUGGCUUGCUGGAGUACGGCAGAGGAAGGUGGAAUUCCCGGUGUAGCGGUGAAAUGCGUAGAGAUCGGGAGGAACAUCAGUGGCGAAGGCGACCUUCUGGGCCAGUACUGACGCUGAGGCACGAAAGCGUGGGGAGCAAACAGGAUUAGAUACCCGUGUAGUC